GACGAAGGGGGCUAGCGUUGUUCGGAAUUACUGGGCGUAAAGCGCGUGUAGGCGGUUAUCCAAGUCAGGUGUGAAAGCCUUGAGCUCAACUCAAGAAAUGCACUUGGUACUGGGUGACUAGAGGACCGGAGAGGAUAGUGGAAUUCCCAGUGUAGUGGUGAAAUACGUAGAGAUUGGGAAGAACACCAGUGGCGAAGGCGGCUAUCUGGACG
rnacentral:rRNA from 1 species